GAUGAAGAACGUAGCGAAAUGCGAUAAGUAAUGUGAAUUGCAGAAUUCAGUGAAUCAUCGAAUCUUUGAACGCACAUUGCGCCCUUUGGUAUUCCGAAGGGCAUGCCUGUUCGAGCGUCAUUAUCACCCCUCAAGCCCCCGGCUUGGUGUUGGACGGUUUGGCGGAGGCCCUCCGGGGCCCUUGCCCCUCCCAAAGACAAUGACGGCGGCCUCGUUGGACCCCCGGUACACUGAGUUCUUUACGGGACACGUACUGGAGUAAGGGUGCGCGGGGCACGGUCUGCCUCCCCUCAGGGAGAAUCUUUUUUUACAAGGUUGACCUCGGAUCAGGUAGGGAUACCCGCUGAACUUAAGCAUAUCAAUAAGCGGAGGA
rnacentral:misc_RNA from 1 species